rnacentral:rRNA from 1 species
AUACGUAGGGCGCGAGCGUUGUCCGGAAUUACUGGGCGUAAAGAGCUCGUAGGUGGUUUGUCGCGUCGUCUGUGAAAUUCCGGGGCUUAACUCCGGGCGUGCAGGCGAUACGGGCAUAACUUGAGUACUGUAGGGGAGACUGGAAUUCCUGGUGUAGCGGUGAAAUGCGCAGAUAUCGGGAGGAACACCGGUGGCGAAGGCGGGUCUCUGGGCAGUAACUGACGCUGAGGAGCGAAAGCAUGGGUAGCGAACAGGAUUAGAUACCCUGGUAGUCCAUGCCGUAAACGGUGGGCGCUAGGUGUAGGGGUCUUCCACGACUUCUGUGCCGUAGCUAACGCAUUAAGCGCCCCGCCUGGGGAGUACGGCCGCAAGGCUAAAACUCAAAGGAAUUGACGGGG